rnacentral:rRNA from 1 species
GUCCACGCCCUAAACGAUGUCAACUGGUUGUUGGGGGAGUGAAAUCCCUUAGUAACGAAGCUAACGCGUGAAGUUGACCGCCUGGGGAGUACGGUCGCAAGAUUAAAACUCAAAGGAAUUGACGGGGACCCGCACAAGCGGUGGAUGAUGUGGAUUAAUUCGAUGCAACGCGAAAAACCUUACCUACCCUUGACAUGUCCGGAAUCCUGCAGAGAUGCGGGAGUGCCCGAAAGGGAAUCGGAACACAGGUGCUGCAUGGCUGUCGU